rnacentral:rRNA from 1 species
AGUGAACGCUGGCGGUAGGCCUAACACAUGCAAGUCGAACGGCAGCACAGUAAGAGCUUGCUCUUACGGGUGGCGAGUGGCGGACGGGUGAGGAAUACAUCGGAAUCUACUUUUUCGUGGGGGAUAACGUAGGGAAACUUACGCUAAUACCGCAUACGACCUACGGGUGAAAGCAGGGGAUCUUCGGACCUUGCGCGAUUGAAUGAGCCGAUGUCGGAUUAGCUAGUUGGCGGGGUAAAGGCCCACCAAGGCGACGAUCCGUAGCUGGUCUGAGAGGAUGAUCAGCCACACUGGAACUGAGACACGGUCCAGACUCCUACGGGAGGCAGCAGUGGGGAAUAUUGGACAAUGGGCGAAAGCCUGAUCCAGCCAUACCGCGUGGGUGAAGAAGGCCUUCGGGUUGUAAAGCCCUUUUGUUGGGAAAGAAAAGCAGCAGGUUAAUACCCCGCUGUUCUGACGGUACCCAAAGAAUAAGCACCGGCUAACUUCG